GACGAACGCUGGCGGCGUGCUUAACACAUGCAAGUCGAGCGGUAAGGCCCUUUCGGGGGUACACGAGCGGCGAACGGGUGAGUAACACGUGGGUGACCUGCCCUCAGCUCUGGGAUAAGCCUGGGAAACUGGGUCUAAUACCGGAUAUGACCCCAUGACGCAUGUCGUGGGGUGGAAAGCCUUGUGCGGCUGAGGAUGGGCCCGCGGCCUAUCAGCUUGUUGGUGGGGUGAUGGCCUACCAAGGCGACGACGGGUAGCCGGCCUGAGAGGGCGACCGGGCCACACUGGGACUGAGACACGGCCCAGACUCCUACGGGAGGCAGCAGUGGGGAAUCUUGCGCAAUGGGCGAAAGCCUGACGCAGCGACGCCGCGUGAGGGAUGACGGCCU
rnacentral:rRNA from 1 species